rnacentral:rRNA from 1 species
AACGAACGCUGGCGGCAGGCCUAACACAUGCAAGUCGAGCGAGGACUUCGGUCCUAGCGGCGGACGGGUGAGUAACGCGUGGGACCUUGCCCUUGCUUUGGAAUUGCCCUGGGGAACUGGGAGGUAUUCCCGAUUAGGCCCUUUGGGGAAAGAGUUUUUGGCGAAGGAACGGCCCCCGUUGGAUUAGGUAGUUGGUGGGGUAAUGGCCCACCAAGCCGACGAUUCAUAGCUGGUUUGAGAGGAUGAGCAGCCACACUGGGACUGAGACACGGCCCAGACUCCUACGGGAGGCAGCAGUGGGGAAUCUUAGACAAUGGGGGAAACCCUGAUCUAGCCAGGCCGCGUGAGCGAUGAAGGCCUUAGGGUUGUAAAGCUCUUUCAGCUGGGAAGAUAAUGACGGUACCAGCAGAAGAAGCCCCGGCUAACUCCGUG